rnacentral:rRNA from 1 species
AUUGAACGCUGGCGGCAGGCCUAACACAUGCAAGUCGAACGAGUGGCGGACGGGUGAGUAAUGUCUGGGACACUGCCUGAUGGAGGGGGUUAACUACUGGAAACGGUAGCUAAUACCGCAUACCAUCGGAUGUGCCCCGAUGGGCUUAUCUAGUAGGUGGGGUAACGGCGCACCUAGGCGACGAUCCCUAGCUGGUCUGAGAGGAUGACCAGCCACACUGGAACGGAGACACGGGCCAGACUCCUACGGGAGGCAGCAGUGGGGAAUAUGGCACAAUGGGCGCAAGCCUGAUGCAGCCAUGCCGCGUGUAUGAAGAAGGCCUUCGGGUUGUAAAGUACUUUCAGCGGGGAGGCGUUACCCGCAGAAGAAGCACCGGCUAACUCCGUGCCAGCCGCCGCGGUAAUAC